GGACAGAUGGCCGAGUGGUUAAGGCGACGGUCUUAAGCACCGUUAUCCGUGAGGAUGCAGGAGUUCGAACCUCCUUCUGUCCA
rnacentral:tRNA from 2 species